AUUGAACGCUGGCGGCAUGCCUUACACAUGCAAGUCGAACGGCAGCACGGGAGCAAUCCUGGUGGCGAGUGGCGAACGGGUGAGUAAUAUAUCGGAACGUGCCCAGUCGUGGGGGAUAACGUAGCGAAAGCUACGCUAAUACCGCAUACGAUCUAUGGAUGAAAGCGGGGGAUCGCAAGACCUCGCGCGAUUGGAGCGGCCGAUAUCAGAUUAGGUAGUUGGUGAGGUAAAGGCUCGCCAAGCCGACGAUCUGUAGCUGGUCUGAGAGGACGACCAGCCACACUGGGACUGAGACACGGCCCAGACUCCUACGGGAGGCAGCAGUGGGGAAUUUUGGACAAUGGGCGCAAGCCUGAUCCAGCAAUGCCGCGUGCAGGAUGAAGGCCUGGUGUAACGUAGNUUUGUAGUACGAACGGUAGAGA
rnacentral:rRNA from 1 species